rnacentral:lncRNA from 1 species
UUAAAAAAGAUGCAUUCUUGAAGAAAAUUUUAAUUAAAAAAAUCAAAAGAAAAAUUGAACAGUGCCUAAAUCUUUAUUUUUCAUAACCUACAUUUUUUUUCAAAUUAGACAGUUUUACACUGAAUGACACAAAAGGAAACUUAAAUUACCAAUAGUUUACAUGUAAGCUUGAUUCCAGUCUUAAUGAAAAGAAUUAGAACAAAAACAAAAACCUUCAAGAAAGCUUCCACAUUACACUUGCGUUGUGUGAAUUGGCAGCUGUUGGCUCUCCUUCCGUCUUCGAUUGUCUGCUGCUUUCUGGGUAAGAGGCCUUGAAGUACAUGGACCCUAACUAGAGCACACUGACGGCUGGUACAAAGACAGGCAUGCACCUUCCUCACCUGCCGCCCUUGCAGAAACUGAGCCAGUUUUUAAAUGUAAACUGCAGCGGUCCUGACUAAUGCAGCAACAUAAAACAUCUUUUGCCACCUGCUAAUGACAACCAGUGAUGUGAUUACAGGAAGGGCUGAUCAGAAACAUCAUGACACUAACUCUUAAAAAGGAACUAUUCUACUUGAAAUUCAUGUCUAGUGAAAAAAGCCAGAUUCUCAUAUUUCCAGAUGACAAGCAUCACCUCACAAUUUUACAAGUUAAAAUGUCAUUUGUGAUUGCUGCAUCUGAUUCUAUACCUUGAGAUACUGCUGGGGGAAAGGAAAGAGUUAAAUUUUAAAAAAUGUACGAAAGCCACACACUACUGGCUGCGUGUGAUGGAGCCGCUGUCUGUGUGCCGUAUCACAGCUUCCCGUUGUGAACUCCCAUUCCUUUCUGUGAAGGGACAUCUCAGAGCAAUGUCAGAAAGGUCGUGUUGUAGACAUUAUAGAAGUAUUUGGCAUAUUACCUUUGCUUAAUUAAAAAGGAUGCUAUAAAAAUCACAUCAGAGCGAGGUUUCAACUCUCGAUGCAACAGACUGGCUGCAGGAGCAGUAAACACAGCACACUGAGCCAGCAGGGACGCAGCAGAUUCCACCCUGCGCCUCUCAGGCACCGCCUGCCACACGAUUGGCUGCUACCUCAGGGGCCCACCGUCAUGCUGUCUGCCAACAAAGAGCAGAUCGCUACAGCUGGCUCUAGCACACACCUGCCUCCAGGGAAAGGAUUUGUCAUCAUUGAGAACCAGUGUCUCAGCUCCACAGGGUUUGUGAUUUGGGGGAUGAUGAUGGCUGACAACAUCCGCUCCCUCUUCCAGCAAAGACUGCGACAUUAAGGAAUUCCUAGGGCUUGGAGCAUGCCCUUCCAACGCUGUAU